rnacentral:lncRNA from 1 species
GGCAUUGGCGCAUCUGGGAACCGACGUCCGUGCGCGGCUGGCUAGAAUGCUGGACUCGCCUCCGCAGCGCUGGCCUGCAGGGAUUAGAAGACAUGUGGGGUCAAGGAACAGGAAGCUGACCUGGAUGGAAGUUGAACAGUGAUCUUUGCUCUCUGCCUGGCUCCUGAGUCCUCUGCCAUGUUCCUGGAGAAGAGGAGCCAGCCAGGCCCUCAUCUCACUCUCCCAGAGCCCCAGAGCACACCAAUGGACACCAUCACCUCUCGGGCAGAUCAGCACAGAGACGUGAAGCACACAGGCAGCUGCUGGAAAAAUAACAAGGAAUUGCAAUGGUGUGCCCCUCCGUUGAAUGCAAGCUCUCUUCUGCCUUCUCACCUUGGGCAAGUUACCUUCCGUUCCAGGCCUCGGUUUCUCCAUGUGUGAAAUGAAAGGGCUGGAGAGAAAUCUCUCACUAUUCCCCAAUCUACAUUCAUUGUAUCCCAAACCUUCUAAUAUCUGUUCAACGAAGUGUACCAAAUCUCAGCUAUUGGACUGAGACUCAGGGGUCUAUCUGACUUGAAUUGAAAAUGCAAAUUACUGAAGAGGGAGGGAGGGAGGAGUGCUGAAGAUUGAAUGGAUUUAUCAGAUUUCCUUCUCCUAUGGCCCAGAUGCAGGCCUAGUCCAGGCGAUUCCCCUGGCUCAGAAUCUGCCAGGCUCAAGCAUUCAUUGACAGCCUACUAUGUACCAAUCCUGGGCUGAGUCCCAACCCGGGGAUGACUUAGAGGAGGCCAGGAUGUGGCCUCAUGUUCUGGUUGCUCUCACAUUUAAACAGGCUAAACCCACUUUGCAUUGUAUGUUAGGGGUGGUGCUUGUGGGACAAAGGGGGCUGUCAGAACAUUCUGGCUGCCACAUGAAGUUGACUUUGCCAGGACAGACUGGGUUGUGGGGGAAGGCAGCUACUGUAAUAAUUUGGCCAAGAAGUGGGCUGAGCAGGAGCAGGGCUGAGGGAGGGAGAGAGGGAAUGAGUAAGAAAGGCCCAGGGUACUGAUUUGACUGGGACUUCAGGGACAGGUGUGGGGCGAGAGGGAUGCUGGAAGUGAAGGAGGGAAAGUGCAGAGGCUUUCUGGGGAUUAAUAGGCAAUGAUCUCUAUGAGGGCGUGGUGAGUAGGCCCCAAACAUCCGGGGACUUCCCUGCCUGCCAUCCCUCUGUCUCUCUCUUCCUUUCCUACUGCCCAGGGCCUGGCCCUGCUGCACAUGCCCUGCCCUGGCCCCCAGAGUCCCCUUCUUUCCUGGCUGGGAGAUUAAGACUCUGCUGUGCCUACAGCAUUCUCAACCUCAAGUCAAGGUGGCCCUUUGGAGCCCAGGAGGCCACAUGGCUGAGUCAGGGCUGAGUCACCACCCCCCAAGGGCCUUGCCAUUUCCUGUGGAGAAGCCUCUUUACUGGCAGGGUUCUGUGCUCAGGUGGGAAAUCUGGAGAGGUCGGGGGCAGGGCUUCAUCUACUUUUACCCACUAACUCCCUAGACACUCCACUGGGGGUAGAGGGUUCCUACACGUAUGAUGAUCAAAACAUGUGUCUGUGCACAUGGGCCCUUAUGCAUUCACAGGUGUUUGCCUAUGCGACUGCAUGUCUGAAUGUUUUAUGUAUAUUUGAAUAUAGAUAGGGAACAAAUAUUUAUGGAGCACAUAUUAUGUGUGCAGCCUUUUACGUGUGUUACUUUCUAAUAACCCUAGGAGGCGUAGAUGCCUCCCAGGCUAUGGUUGAAAAUACUGACAUGCCCAAGGUGCAGGAGGUAUGAAUACCUCCCCACUGUGGCUGGUAACACCCCAGGUUUCUCCAACUCCACAGUGAUGGGCUUUCCUCCAGAGCCGGUUCCUCAGGGGCAGGAGUGAGAAGUGUGUGUGUCUGUAUUUAUCCUUCCACCAGUGGCUGUGAUUGGUCCUGUGGUUGGAAACAGGGUCAAGUAAGGCCCUUGGGAGUAGCUGGGUGAAUGGACGAUGGUGGCGUCCACCUUGGACAUGGCACAUACUUCUGGUCGGGUAUCCACGUGGCUGGCCAACCCGGACCUGCCCUAUUAGGGGCCAUCGCCCUCAUGGCUCAUCAGUGCUGAGUUUCAUUGCCUUCUUCGUAAUGCAAUACUAAUGGAUACAGGCAUGUAUCUGCCGUACACUAGAUGAAAUGUGGUUAUUUGCUCAGGUAGAAAUAAAGACUAAAAUACCAAAGUGGGAAAUCCUCUCCAUUGUGCCUUACUGAUAUUUAGGUAAAAAUUAUCUUAUUGGCUCUUUUUUUUUUUUUUUUGAGAGGGAGUCUCACUCUGCCCAGGCUGAAGUGCAAUGGCACAGUCUUGGCUUACUGCGAACUCUGCCGCCCGGUUUCAAGCAAUUCUCCGCAGCCUCCCGAGUAGCUGGGGUUACAGGCACACACAACCACGCCAGGCUAAUUUUUGUAUUUUUAGUAGAGACAGGGUUUCACCAUGUUGGCCAGGCUGGUCUCGAACUCCCUCCUCAGCCUCCCAAAAUGCUGGGAUUACAGGUGUGAGUCACCAUGCCCAGCCCAUCUUAUUGGCUCUUAAUAACUCAGACCAUAUGGUGAUAACUCCCAAAUCAGCACCCUCCCAAGUUCUGGCCCCGUGAAUUCAGUUGCUGAAUCCAAGUUCCUGAUUGGAAGUUCCUCAGGCACCAGCACUUGGGGCACCCGAGUGCUCUGCUCCAGGGGCUCAUCCCCGCUGGAAGCUUGAAUGUCUGCUCCUCCUUCUCUUCACCCAGCUCAGCCAAUCACUGUGUCCCUGAUUCUGCCUUCUUGCUGUCUUGCCAGUGUGUCUGCUCCUUUCUGUCCCUUCUCCCUGGAUGACUGCCAGUGCUUCCUGUUGCCCUCCCUGCCUCCAACUCUCCCUACCACCUGCAUGGCAGCCAGAGUGGGGUUCCUGCAAAUCUCCCCAAGUCUGUUUCCUACUUGGUAUGUCUGAUGGUUUCCUGCUGCCCUCAGCAUACAACGCCAUCCCUGAGAUGGCCCUGCUCAUCUUUCCACGCCCCCCCCCUCCGCCCUCCGCUGCCCCUCACCCCUUCUAAUUCUUCACCCAGGCCACAGAGCACCUUGCAGUUCCUCGAUGGAGCCAGUCUUCCUCUUGCCUCCAGCCUUUUGCUGUUUCUCCACCACCAGUCAUCUGGGCUACCCUCUAUUCUUCCAGGAGGUCACAGCCUAGAAGUCACAUCCUCUGAGUGGAGUCACCUGUCCACCCUUCCCUGGAGUAGGGAUCCUGACCUUAGGUUUAUCGUGACCCUUUCCACCUCCCCAGUCUGCCUUCAGCCCCCUCCGUCUCACUGGAUCCUCCUUCUCUCCUUGGGCACAAGGCUCUUCUGAUGGGCAAACACUAUGGUCAACUUUGGCCCCUUGCCCUCUGACCUUUCUAGGGUGGCAGCAGCGACCUGUUGACCUCUCCAUCUGUAUUUUAUUUAAACUCCUCUCUACCCUCUCCUUCCUAGAACUCUCUCCCUCUUGCAAGAUUCCUCAGUCCACUUUGGGCCUCUGUUUGUGAUUCUCAUCUCUUAUGUCUCCUCAGUUGACCCCUUGUUCGUUAACAUUCUCCUCCAUGCUGAUGAAACCCGCCAGGCUCCAGCCUUGAUGUUUAACUCUUGCCAGCCACCUCUGGCUGGCCGCAGGCUCCUUGGACUCCAUGUAUCCAGAAGUACUUAGCAUCUUCCCUUCUUCCUCAACAAGGGGCUCCUCCUGUAAUAGCCUCUGUCUCGGUGCCUGGUCCCCACUCCCAGCAGGAUUCCACGAGCACACCUGCAUGGCAGAUACACCUGACAGCAAUAACUUGAGAAGAAUCUGCAUUCGGAAUUUGGAGCUAAGGAAUCCGAGAGUGGGCAACCCAGAGACUCAUUCCU